GGGGGGACAGGGUGACAGGUGGUGCAUGGUUGUCGUCAGCUCGUGUCGUGAGAUGUUGGGUUAAGUCCCGCAACGAGCGCAACCCUCGCCUCUAGUUGCCAGCAUUCGGUUGGGCACUCUGGAGGGACUGCCGGCGACAAGUCGGAGGAAGUGGGGAUGACGUCAAAUCAUCAUGCCCCUUAUGACCUGGGCUACACACGUGCUACAAUGGGCGGUACAAAGGGCUGCGAACCCGCGAGGGGGAGCGAAUCCCAAAAAGCCGCUCUCAGUUCGGAUUGCAGGCUGCAACUCGCCUGCAUGAAGCCGGAAUCGCUAGUAAUCGCGGAUCAGCAUGCCGCGGUGAAUACGUUCCCGGGCCUU
rnacentral:rRNA from 1 species